CAUGCGCGGGUUCAAUUCCCGUCGUUCGCCGGGCGGAUGUAGCCAAGUGGAUCAAGGCGGUGGAUUGUGAAUCCAC
rnacentral:tRNA from 1 species